UUCCUUGCAUUAGCUUCUCAAUCUAUGAUGAUCAUAAAUAUAUUCUUAAAUGUUUCGUUCCAUCUUCCCCUUAAUACUUCUCUAGAGCUCUAUAUCUAAAUCUAAAUCCACCCAAAAUCAAACUCUACUCUGAAAAGCUACAUUCAUGGCCUAUGAAAUCCUCCGGAAAAUCUAUUAUAUACAGCUCUCAUGUCUUUAUCGAUGGCUUCUCCUUUUCUUCCAUGAUCUGCAUCCCUAAUUAUCGUCUUCGAGAAGAUAAGGCCUGCUAUUCUGAAUCCUUUAUUUUUCUUGUGCUGAAACUCCAGUAUUAUCAGGUUUGGGUUUAAAAAGACAGAAUUUGCAUGCUGGCAGACGGAUGCUGAUUCUAUCGGUGAUUUCAUUAUUAGUUUCAGGAUCUGCUAUUAUCGACCAACUAGGCAUUUUGUGACAAUUUUCAGGAUAACAAAGAUGCAUGUGGUGACAACAAUUUAAAUGGUAGUUUAGUAUGGGGUUCUAUUCAUCAUUCUUGGUUUCAGAUCAUGUUACUGUGUCGAGAAGAACCCAAAGUCCCAUAAGCAAAGCAAUAUAUAAGGGAAGGAGAAGGGAGAGACUGAUCCUCAACUAAUAAUUCCUAGAGGAACAUGUAUUAGUUAGCAUCUUAAGUGCAUGACAAAGGACUUGCAGAUCCAUCCAGAGCGAAUUGUUGCGAAUCAGAUAACAACUAAGAUUCUUAUUUCCAUGUUUGGUUCUCUCUUACACAUGUUGAGGGGAUAGCUAGAUGUGCAAGGAUAGGUGGCUUGGUGUUCACGCCUUCUUAGAAAGAUGGAAGACCAAGAAGGAAGUUGAGAGAUACCGUGACUGAGAGCUUACUAAUGAGACGCGACCAAUUUGGGUAAGGACUACUUGAUGCUCAAAAUGAAUUAAAGAGUAUAUUUGUAUUUGUUGCAGCUCUUGACCUCUAAGGAGGUGACAACAGAAGAGUACAAUGAGUUUUACAUAAAAGCUUUCAAUGAGUACUUGGACCCACAGGCAUUAACCCACUUCACAACAGUACGUUGGAGGGAAAACAUCUGUUGGAAUAGUAUAUAUACAUGAAACUACCCAUGCAGGUUAUGAUUUGUAUAUGUUAAAAAGUGGUGACACCAUGUUAAUCCACUAAUGAUGUACUGUUCUUGAAUUAUUACUGAUAAUUCUCUUAUUGUAGCGUGAGGUCGAGUUUAGAUCCAUCCUUUAUGUGCCACCAGUGUCACCAAUGGGGAAGCAUGACGUGGUCAAUUAAAAGACAAAGAACAUAAGGCUCUAUGGAAAACUAUUUUUCAAGAUAAUUUGACUGGAAGCUGGUGAGAGAAGUAUCCCUUGGUGUGGCCUUUCAAGAUAUAUAUGUUUUUCUAUUUCGUAUUGAUAUCCGCUUUUCUGGUGCUUUGUGAACAGUUUCCUCGCCAUUUGAUUUUUAUCAAGGGUGUUAUGGACCCACACGAUCUCCCAUU